rnacentral:rRNA from 1 species
GGGCUCACACAAGCGGUGGAGCAUGUGGCUCAAUUCGAAGCAACGCGAAGAACCUUACCUGGGUUUGACAUGCUGGGAUUAGUUUCCCGAAAGGGAAAUGACGCGGCUUGCCGUGGAACCAGCACAGGUGCUGCAUGGCUGUCGUCAGCUCGUGUCGUGAGAUGUCGGGUUAAGUCCCCUAACGAGCGAAACCCCUGUCGCUAGUUGCCAGCGGGUCAUGCCGGGAACUCUAGCGAGACUGCCGGUGUUAAACCGGAGGAAGGCGGGGAUGACGUCAAGUCAUCAUGGCCUUUAUGCCCAGGGUUGCACACGUGCUACAAUGGGACGGUACAGAGCGACGCCAAACCGCAAGGUGGAGCAAAUCGCAGAAAACGUCCCCCAGUUCAGAUUGAAGGCUGCAAUUCGCCUUCAUGAAGUUGGAAUCGCUAGUAAUCGCGGAUCAGCUACGCCGCGGUGAAUGUGUUCCUGAGCCUU